UUCCAUUAAGUUUAAGAACUCAACUUGUUUUCUCAGAAAGCAGUGUGAUUACACCGAGGAUCAAAACAUGAGGAGCAUCCCAGAGUGCUCGAAGUUAUUCAUGUGAGACGGGUUCAAGAUUCCAUGGACAAAGAUAUGGAGAUGAGUCGAAUAUAGAAACUCAAUACACAAAUCUAUGAAACCUCCAACUAAUAUGAAAUAAAGCUGCAAGUACUUAAGCCGUCCAUCAAAACCAGGAACAGGGUUCCACACCCUGACCCGAAAAGAUUUAGGAUACGAUACAUAUCUGGCUAUAGAGCUCCACAUGUGCCACACCCCAACCGAAAGAAACAGCGUCCCGGGAAGGACAUGCCCACGAAAAGAACCCAUUUUUCCUCAACUAUGAACCUAGGGUCCUAGACCUAGAUCUGAUAACUGCUAAAGAAUGACUUUAAAGAACCAAGUUUCUUCGUUUCUUGAUCACUUCUCUAUGGAAAUUAUUGAAAUUGCAAAUUACUAAUCAAAGAAAUUGCCAUAAAAUUGAAGCACUUCUAAAUUGCCGCUUUGCUCAAUAUUUCAACAGUAAUUUUUUUUAAUUUUUUUUUCUCUCCCCAUUUUUUAUUUGAUUGUCACUUGCACUCAUCUUAAUAAUCAAAAUUGAGUAACAACUAAUACCAUAACAGGCGGUCUUGGAAUCUUCUUCUCUGCAUAGCAAUAAAUGUAGCAGAAUAAUCAACUUUUUUUUUUCUUAACUUAGAGCUAAA
rnacentral:lncRNA from 1 species